rnacentral:misc_RNA from 1 species
GGCAAUGAAGAGUGGCAUGAAGAGCAGCAUGAUGUGAAGGUUGAUUUGGAAGAAAUGGGGACAAUGGAAGACACAACCUUAUCUAUGCAUGCUUUGGAAGGGAGUCAUGGUGUGGAUACAAUAAGGAUGUUGGGGAUCCAUAAGAAUAAGCAGCUGGUGAUAUUAAUUGAUAGUGGUAGAACCACCAGUUUCCUUGAUAAAAGAGUGGCU